rnacentral:rRNA from 1 species
GACGAACGCUGGCGGCGUGCUUAACACAUGCAAGUCGAACGGAAGGGCCCUGCUUUUGUGGGGUGCUCGAGUGGCGAACGGGUGAGUAACACGUGAGUAACCUGCCCUUGACUUUGGGAUAACUUCAGGAAACUGGGGCUAAUACCGGAUAGGAGCUCCUGCUGCAUGGUGGGGGUUGGAAAGUUUCGGCGGGUGGGGAUGGACUCGCGGCUUAUCAGCUUGUUGGUGGGGUAGUGGCUUACCAAGGCUUUGACGGGUAGCCGGCCUGAGAGGGUGACCGGCGACCUUGGGCCUGAGGUACGGCCCAGACUCCUACGGGAGGCAGCAGUGGGGAAUAUUGCACAAUGGGCGGAAGCCUGAUGCAGCAACGCCGCGUGCGGGAUGACGGCCUUCGGGUUGUAAACCGCUUUCGCCUGUGACGAAGCGUGAGUGACGGUAAUGGGUAAAGAAGCACCGGCUAACUACGUG